UACGUAGGGGGCAAGCGUUGUCCGGAUUUAUUGGGCGUAAAGAGCGUGUAGGCGGCCAGGCAGGUCCGUUGUGAAAACUCGAGGCUCAACCUCGAGACGUCGAUGGAAACCGUCUGGCUAGAGUCCGGAAGAGGAGAGUGGAAUUCCUGGUGUAGCGGUGAAAUGCGCAGAUAUCAGGAAGAACACCAGUGGCGAAGGCGGCUCUCUGGUCCGGUACUGACGCUGAGGCGCGAAAGCGUGGGGAGCAAACAGG
rnacentral:rRNA from 1 species